GUGAGGAAUAUUGGGCAAUGGGCGAGAGCCUGACCCAGCAACGCCGCGUGGAGGAAGACGGCCUUCGGGUUGUAAACUCCUUUUGACGGGGAAGAGAGAGGACGGUACCCGUCGAAUAAGUCACGGCUAACUACGUGCCAGCAGCCGCGGUAAUACGUAGGUGACAAGCGUUAUCCGGAAUUACUGGGCGUAAAGCGCACGCAGGCGGCUGAUUAAGUCUGACGUGAAAUCUCCUGGCUUAACUGGGAGGGGUCGUUGGAAACUGAUUGGCUUGAGGUGGUGAGAGGGGUGUAGAAUUCCCGGUGUAGUGGUGGAAUGCGUAGAUAUCGGGAGGAAUACCAGUGGCGAAAGCGGCACCCUGGCACUGACCUGACGCUCAUGUGCGAAAGCGUGGGUAGCAAACGGGAUUAGAUACCCCAGUAGUCC
rnacentral:rRNA from 1 species